UUCUUACUUUCUGCAUUAUUUUUCCAGUUUCUGGUUUUUUGCGUUUUUCACAGUUUCUGGUUUUUCCGUUUCCAGUUGUUGGUUUCUGUUUUCUGAUUUUGAACACAGCCAUACUAACAAAAGGUUUGGUAACUUUUCCAAAGCUUGGCCGUUCACUCUUUCUUAUUGUACAAGGCAAUUCUCUAUCUCUCUCAGUCUCUUCAUAACCAGUUAUUCACUUUACUAAGUUUGGGCUGAAAUAUCGAGUUAACUUUUUCUUAUUGAAGAUUUCUGUUGUUUCUGAGUCUUUGAAAGUUUUGAAAAAUGCAGUGCAAGGAAAUCUUCAGUUCUUUUUUGUUGAAAAACAACGCAACCCAACACUUUCUGGAAACAGUUGUAAGAAUUCUUCAAACAACACCAUAAAGUAUUUUAUUUCCAUUCAAAUUUACGAGAUGAAAUCAUAAUUUUCUCUAUCAAGUCAAAUAUUGUUAUUGAAAAAAGUAAUUCCAACAUGAAAACUAUUUCUUUCUAAAACUUUCCAAGAUCACACCUUACAAGCUCUCAGAGUGUAUGUAAAACUUUCCAUAAACUAUUUCUGUCUGUCUAUGUCUGUCAAUUAUCUUUUUUGUGCUAAUGGCAGCGACUAAAGAUUUCAAUAUAUAGUAGAAAGAGUAAGGGAGGAGAUGUACUGUGAAGCAUGCAUCUUCUACUAAUUGAUGAUUAUUCAACCCAUUUUAUGCAUUUUAAAGUGCUUAGAUCUUUAAUUAAUCAGCACAUAAUAUUAUUUUUCCAAUUUAUCAGUAAAAGGACUCUGUUACCAAAUCAGGAUAGGAGAUCCAAAAGUCCUUUAAGCUACUGUCUUUCAUGCUAUGACUCUGGAAUUCUUUUGGUCAGAUCAUGAUAAUUUGGCAAACUAGGAGAUGGUUACAGAUUUGUUGUGCUGCCCCCGUUCGUUCGUCGCUGCAUUAGAACUGCAGAUAAAUGUUUCGCCUUGAAAUGGGGCUUCUUCAAAUUGCGUGGACCGAGAGGAAUCAGAAGAUUUUUCAAACCAAACUGUGUGAACCUAAGGUGGUGGUCGGGAGAAUUUUGCAGGAUAUAUUGUACAGAGGAUCACUCAAGAAGAAGAUUAGUUGCUCUUAACUUCUACCCAUAGUUAGUUAUAGUUUUCCACUAGCACUAAGGAGGUUAUGAUGACAUUGUUAUAUGUUUUGCCACUGUGAGGUUGCCAUAUCAUCACAGUUUUUUUAGACUCUUGUACAGUUUUGCUACUUUGGUAAUAUAAAUGUUAGUUUAAUUGCCAAAAAAAAAAAAGAUGUGUUGUAUAGCCCGCAGAGGGUGCAAACGUGCUGUGGUGCCUGCGAAUUAUUGGGAUCGAUAUUGACAGCAAGAAAUACUAUGUUUGUAUAACUCUUCUACAUCAUUUGAGAGUAUGGAUAGUUCGUUCAUAUUUGAUAUCAAUUGUCUGACCUAAUUUGAGUUGAAUAUUCUGGUAGCUUCCUUCUUUCAUAUUUUUAAUUGGAAGUAGAGGAAGUAAGGAAACUUAAAGGGAUGACAAGAUGAAUGGUGAAUGAAUUGACUUGUUGAUAAGUUGGUAUAUUAUCAACUUAUUUCUGCUUUAAUCUUAGAUUGUUGCUAUAUUUUGAUUGAAAAAAUAGUGCAUUUAAUAUCGUUUACUUCCAUUUUAUAGGUUCAUAUGAUUGAAAAGAGCCUUGGAAGAAACCAAGUGAAAAAACAAGUCAAAAAGAGGCCAAAUGGAAGAAAUGGCAAAAACUGGACAAUUUUUCAAAUCUGAAAACUUGGGGCUUAUUUUGUUAUUUUUGGACUUGGAAAAAUUGGGCCACUAUAAAAGCAAGAAUUGGUGAAAUUAUUUAUGAUCUUUUGGCCAUUUCAACACAAGUUUUGGAGACUAGGGUUCUUACACCCACACUUGGGGAUUGAAGAUUUGAAGACUUUGAUGAGAAAUUUCUUACUCAUUUCUUCAAUUUCUUGUUGUGUAUUGAAUAUCUAAG